UGGGAAUAUUGCACAAUGGGCGAAAGCCUGAUGCAGCAACGCCGCGUGCGGGAUGACGGCCUUCGGGUUGUAAACCGCUUUCAGCAGGGACGAAGGUUUUCUGACGGUACCUGCAGAAGAAGCACCGGCUAACUACGUGCCAGCAGCCGCGGUGAUACGUAGGGUGCGAGCGUUGUCCGGAAUUAUUGGGCGUAAAGAGCUUGUAGGCGGUCCGUUGCGUCGGAAGUGAAAACUCAGGGCUUAACCCUGAGCCUGCUUUCGAUACGGGCGGACUUGAGGGAUGUAGGGGAGAACGGAAUUCCUGGUGGAGCGGUGGAAUGCGCAGAUAUCAGGAGGAACACCAGUGGCGAAGGCGGUUCUCUGGACAUUUCCUGACGCUGAGAAGCGAAAGCGUGGGGAGCAAACAGGCUUAGAUACCCUGGUAGUCCACGCCGUAAACGGU
rnacentral:rRNA from 1 species